UCCUACGGGAGGGAGCAGUAGGGAAUCCUCCGCAAUGGCCGCAUGUUCGAUAGGCACCACCGCGGAGUUAUGACCCCCCUCGGAUCCUUAAGCUUUGUCGCUUGUGAGAACUAGCACGAGAGUCUCCGGGGCCUUAUGACGGUAUCAAACGAGAAAGCCCCGGCUAACUACGUGCCAGCAGCCGCGGUAAUACGUAGGUGGCAAGCGUUGUCCGGAUUUAUUGGGCGCAAAGGGCGCGCAGGCGGGUUCUUCAGUCCGAUGUGAAGGCCCGCAGUUAGAAACCAAACGUGCAUUCCCCACGCCCCCACCCCCCCCCGAAGAGGAGAAUGGAAUUUACAGUGUAGCGGGGAAAUGCGUAGAGAUAUGGAAGAACACCAGUGGCGAAGGCGGCUGUCUGGUCUGUAACUAACGCGAAGGAACGCAAG
rnacentral:rRNA from 1 species